UACAGCCAUUUCACUUUGAAACACCAGUCCCCAUAUGAUCACCAAAGUAAAGCAAUGGUCAGUACUUAGAUGGGUGACCAUUUGGGAAUACCAGGCACUGUAAG